AACACGACCCCAGGUCAGGC
rnacentral:rRNA from 1 species